CCCUUAGAUGUUCUGGGCCGCACGCGCGCUACACUGAUGCAUUCAACGAGCACCCGCUGGGCCGAGAGGUCCGGCUAAUCUUUGAACGUGCAUCGUGCUGGGGAUAGAUGAUUGCAAUUAUUCAUCUUCAACGAGGAAUUCCUAGUAAACGCAAGUCAUCAGCUUGCAUUGAUUACGUCCCUGCCCUUUGUACACACCGCCCGUCGCACCUACCGAUUGAAUGGUCCGGUGAAGGCUUCGGAGGCGGCUUUCUCAAUGUUUAUUCGGCGAGACUGCUGCCAAAGUUGAAUGAACCUUACCAUUUAGAGGAAGGUGAAGUCGUAACA
rnacentral:rRNA from 1 species